UAAAGCCUGUAAGACUCACUUACAUCACCUGAAUGCAAACCAGACACUUUGUUUAAAUUAAGGCUUU
rnacentral:tRNA from 1 species